AGAGUUUGAUCCUGGCUCAGGAUGAACGCUGGCGGCGUGCUUAACACAUGCAAGUCGAACGAUCCUUCGGGAUAGUGGCGCACGGGUGAGGAACACGUAGCUAACCUGCCUCAGAGUACAGAAUAACUCCUCGAAAGAGGCGCUAAUACUGUAUAAGCUCACGAGUUGUAGAUGCUAGUGAGAAAAGAUUUAUCGCUUUGAGAGGGGGCUGCGGCCCAUCAGCUAGAUGGCGAGGUAACGGCUCACCAUGGCAACGACGGGUAGGGGGUCUGAGAGGAUGAUCCCCCACACUGGGACUGAGACACGGCCCAGACUCCUACGGGAGGCAGCAGUGAGGAAUAUUGCACAAUGGYMGAAACCCUGAUGCAGCGACGCCGCGUGGGUGAUGAAGGCCUUCGGGUCGUAAAGCCCUUUUCUGUGUGACGAGCAAGGACGGUAGCACAGGAAUAAGCCUCGGCUAACUACGUGCCAGCAGCCGCGGUAAAACGUAGGAGGCGAGCGUUAUCCGGAGUUACUGGGCGUAAAGCGCAUGUAGGCGGUUGGAUAAGUUGCGUGUGAAAGCUCCUGGCUAAACUAGGAGAGGACAGGCAAGACUGUUCGGCUAGAGGGUGGUAGAGGGGCACAGAAUUCGGGGUGUAGCGGUGAAAUUGGUAGA
rnacentral:rRNA from 1 species